rnacentral:rRNA from 1 species
UUACCAGGGCUUGACAUCCCCUGACCGCGUAUGAAAGUACGUUUUCACCCUCGGGUGACAGGGAGACAGGUGGUGCGAUGGUUGUCGUCAGCUCGUGUCGUGAGAUGUUGGGUUAAGUCCCGCAACGAGCGCAACCCCUACGUUUAGUUGCUAACGCGUGAAGGCGAGCACUCUAGACGAACUGCCGUUGACAAAACGGAGGAAGGUGGGAUGACGUCAAAUCAUCAUGCCCCUUAUGUUCUGGGCUACACACGUGCUACAAUGGCCGGUACAGACGGACGCAAAGCCGCGAGGUGGAGCAAAUCCUAAAAAGCCGGUCUCAGUUCGGAUUGCAGGCUGCAAUUCGCCUGCAUGAAGUCGGAAUCGCUAGUAAUCGCAGGUCAGCAUACUGCGGUGAAUACGUUCCCGGGCCUU